CGGCCCAGAUCUGGCCAGGCAGACAAGACCGGACAGUGCGCCCUGCGGACACUGCGCAAAUGGGGCUCUCCAUGGACCGCAGCCCGUACUCCCGCACGGGGGACCGGGAUCGCGGCUGCUGGUACUACCUGCGCUAUUUCUUCCUCUUCGUGUCGCUCAUCCAGUUCCUCAUCAUCCUGGGCCUGGUCCUCUUCAUGAUCUAUGGUAAUGUGCACGCCACCACCGAGUCCAGUCUGCGGGCCACGGAGAUCCGCGCCGACAACCUAUACAGCCAGGUGGUGGGACUGUCGGCCGCACAGGCUAACCUGAGCAAACAGCUGAACAUCAGCACCCUCGUCAAGGACACCGUCAUGCAGCAGCUGCUGACCACGCGGCGCGAGGUGGAGCGCAUCAACGCCAGCUUCCGCCAGUGCCAAGGCGACCUGAUCACCUACAUAAACUAUAAUCGGUUCAUCGCCGCUAUCAUCCUGAGCGAGAAGCAGUGCCAGGAACAGCUGAAGGAGGGCAACAAGACCUGCGAAGCCUUGCUCUUCAAGCUGGGAGAGAAGGUUAAGACACUGGAGAUGGAGGUGGUCAAGGAGAAGGCGGUGUGCUCCAAAGACAAGGACAGCCUGCUGGCAGGAAAGCGGCAGGCGGAAAUGCAGCAGGAGGCCUGUGGCAAAGCGCGAGAGCAGCAAAAGCAGGACCAGCAGGUGACCGAGGAGCAACUGCGCAAGGUGCAGUCCCUGUGCCUCCCACUGGACCAGGAGAAGUUCCAGGCGGACGUGCUGAACGUGUGGCGGGAUUCGCUGGUCUACCGUUCCCUGGAUAAUAUAGGCUACCACUACUCGCUGAUGCCGGAGUUCUCGUCCCUCCGCCGAACAUGCGAGAGCCUGCCCGGGAUCAUGACCACCAAGGUAGAAGAGCUGGCGCGCGGGUUGCGCGCGGGCAUUGAGCGCGUGACCCGUGAAAAUGGAGAGCUGCGACGCCAGAAGCUGGAGCUGGAGCGCGCGAUACAGGGCGAGCGGGAGGCGCGGACGCGCGCCGGGACCGAGGCGCAGGCUCGAGAGACCCAGCUACGGACGGAGUGCGCGCGCCAGACACAGCUGGCUCUGGAGGAGAAGGCAGCGCUGCGGACACAGCGGGACGACCUGGAGCGCCAGCUGGAGGCGCGGAAGCGGGAGCUGGAGCAACUGCGCACCGAGGUGGAUGUGCGCAUUAGCGCUCUGGACACCUGCGUCAAGGCCAAGUCGCUGCCAGCCAUCCAGCCGAGACUCCCAGGUCCACCCCCCAACCCUCCACCCAUUGAUCCAGCUAGCCUGGAGGAAUUCAAGAAAAGGAUCCUAGAUGGCUGAGGAUGAAGCUGCUGCCGGACACUGGGCACCAGAAUCGCCCACCCGUGGAUGGGGGCAGCCAGAUGCCCACAGUGCUGGACACCCGCUGUGCCCCGCCAGGGACCUCCACCCCCACACCUCUUCUAGCACCCCUUCACUGUCCCCUGCACCCCACUGUCCUCCCAGACACUGGAUUUAAGGCACAGGCAGCUGUGAGGUGACGUCACAUCGCCCCCUUCGCACAUGAAGUGCCCACAGCUCAGCUGCCUAGGCACCUCCUCCGGUUUCCUAUCACUCUGCUCCUGACCCGGGAGGUGAGAACAGGAAGCCCGGCCUUCAGCUCCCUUGGGAGUGUCCAGCCUCUCUCUUAAAGGUUUCCAGGUUCUCCUUGAGAGUUUCCAGGCCUCUCCUGAAGGGUUCUUGCCCCCAUUCCCGCAGAAUUUUCAUUGGGUUCUAGAACCCUUUCUAGAGUCUGCAGGUUCCCCUCCUCCUCACAAGGAAGGACCUCAACUGUAGAUGAGUCCCCUGUGGAUCUCAGGCCCUGGAGGGCUGCCUCCCGCCUCAGUCUGCUUGUAGCCCUUAAAGACAUCACUGGCACGUAAUAAAUAUCAUGAAAGUCCUUUGGAGACUGGU
rnacentral:lncRNA from 1 species